GGUUCUGUAGUGUAGUGGUUAUCACGUCCGCUUCACAUGCAGUAGGUCCUGGGUUCGAUUCCCAGUGGAACCA